UGCUAGUCGCACGGGUUUAGACCCGUGGCGAAAAGCUCAGUAACACGUGGCCAAACUACCCUGUGGACAGGAAUACUCUCGGGAAACUGAGGCUAAUGCCUGAUACUGCUCCCAUGCUGGAAUGCCGGGAGCGGGAAAUGCUCCGGCGCCACAGGAUGUGGCUGCGGCCGAUUAGGUAGACGGUGGGGUAACGGCCCACCGUGCCAGUAAUCGGUACGGGUGAUGAGAGUCAGAGCCCGGAGACGGUAUCUGAGACAAGAUACCGGGCCCUACAGGGCGCAGCAGGCGCGAAACCUUUACACUGCACGACAGUGCGAUAGGGGGACUCCGAGUGCGAGGGCAUACAGUCCUCGCUUUUCUCGACCGUAAGGAAGUCGAAGAAUAAGGGCUGGGCAAGACCGGUGCCAGCCGCCGCGGUAAUACCGGUAGCCCAAGUGAUGGCCGAUAUUAUUGGGCCUAAAGCGUCCGUAGCCGGCCGGACAAGUCUGUUGGGAAAUCCACGUGCUUAACGCGUGGGCGUCCAGCGGAAACUGUCCGGCUUGGGGCCGGAGGACUCGAGGGGUACGUUCGGGGUAGGAGUGAAAUCCUGUAAUCCUGAACGGACCACCGGUGGCGAAAGCGCCUCGAGAGGACGGACCCGACGGUGAGGGACGAAAGCCAGGGUCUCGAACCGGAUUAGAUACCCGGGUAGUCCUGGCCGUAAACGAUGUCUGCUA
rnacentral:rRNA from 1 species